rnacentral:rRNA from 1 species
AUUGAACGCUGGCGGCAGGCCUAACACAUGCAAGUCGGACGGUAGCACAGAGGAGCUUGCUCCUUGGGUGACGAGUGGCGGACGGGUGAGUAAUGUCUGGGGAUCUGCCCGAUAGAGGGGGAUAACCACUGGAAACGGUGGCUAAUCCCGCAUAACGUCGCAAGACCAAAGAGGGGGACCUUCGGGCCUCUCACUAUCGGAUGAACCCAGAUGGGAUGAGCUAGUAGGCGGGGUAAUUGCCCACCUAGGCGACGAUCCCUAGCUGGUCUCAGAGGAUGACCAGCCACACUGGAACUGGGACACGGUCCAGACUCCUACGGGAGGCAGCAGUGGGGAACAUUGCACAAGGGGCGCAAGCCUGAUGCAGCCAUGCCGCGUGUAUGAAGAAGGCCUUCGGGUUGUAAAGUACUUUCAGCGGGGAGGAAGGCGGUGCGGUUAAUAACCGUGCCUAUUGACGUUACCCGCAGAAGAAGCACCGGCUAACUCCGUGCCAGCCGCCGCCGUAAGAC